CGGCGGACGGGUGAGUAAUGCUUAGGAAUCUGCCUAUUAGUGGGGGACAACAGUUGGAAACGGCUGCUAAUACCGCAUACGCCCUACGGGGGAAAGCAGGGGAUCUUCGGACCUUGCGCUAAUAGAUGAGCCUAAGUCAGAUUAGCUAGUUGGUGGGGUAAAGGCCUACCAAGGCGACGAUCUGUAGCGGGUCUGAGAGGAUGAUCCGCCACACUGGGACUGAGACACGGCCCAGACUCCUACGGGAGGCAGCAGUGGGGAAUAUUGGACAAUGGGGGGAACCCUGAUCCAGCCAUGCCGCGUGUGUGAAGAAGGCCUUUUGGUUGUAAAGCACUUUAAGCGAGGAGGAGGCUACUUAGAUUAAUACUCUAGGAUAGUGGACGUUACUCGCAGAAUAAGCACCGGCUAACUCUGUGCCAGCAGCCGCGGUAAUACAGAGGGUGCGAGCGUUAAUCGGAUUUACUGGGCGUAAAGCGUGCGUAGGUGGUCUUUUAAGUCGGAUGUGAAAUCCCUGAGCUUAACUUAGGAAUUGCAUUCGAUACUGGGAGACUAGAGUAUGGGAGAGGAUGGUAGAAUUCCAGGUGUAGCGGUGAAAUGCGUAGAGAUCUGGAGGAAUACCGAUGGCGAAGGCAGCCAUCUGGCCUAAUACUGACACUGAGGCACGAAAGCAUGGGGAGCAAACAGGAUUAGAUACCCUGGUAGUCCAUGCCGUAAACGAUGUCUACUAGCCGUUGGGGUCUUUGAGACUUUAGUGGCGCAGCUAACGCGAUAAGUAGACCGCCUGGGGAGUACGGUCGCAAGACUAAAACUCAAAUGAAUUGACGGGGGCCCGCACAAGCGGUGGAGCAUGUGGUUUAAUUCGAUGCAACGCGAAGAACCUUACCUGGUCUUGACAUAGUAAGAACUUUCCAGAGAUGGAUUGGUGCCUUCGGGAGCUUACAUACAGGUGCUGCAUGGCUGUCGUCAGCUCGUGUCGUGAGAUGUUGGGUUAAGUCCCGCAACGAGCGCAACCCUUUUCCUUAUUUGCCAGCACUUCGGGUGGGAACUUUAAGGAUACUGCCAGUGACAAACUGGAGGAAGGCGGGGACGACGUCAAGUCAUCAUGGCCCUUACGACCAGGGCUACACACGUGCUACAAUGGUCGGUACAAAGGGUUGCUACCUCGCGAGAGGAUGCUAAUCUCAAAAAGCCGAUCGUAGUCCGGAUCGCAGUCUGCAACUCGACUGCGUGAAGUCGGAAUAGCUAGUAAUCGCGGAUCAGAAUGCCGCGGUGAAUACGUUCCCGGGCCUUGUACACACCGCCCGUCACACCAUGGGAGUUUGUUGCACCAGAAGUAGGUAGUCUAA
rnacentral:rRNA from 1 species